AAACAUCAACUUUAUUCAGUAGUGUUGAUUACAUCAAACAUCAAAUCCGACCUACACUUAGAUUCCAAACCUAAUACAUAAAAAAAAUACAAAACAUGAACAACAAACUAAUUGGCCGCGUUUGAAUCUACUUCAUUCUUUUCUUCUUCUUCCUGCUCAUCAAAAUAGAGUUGAGAUUCUCUAACAAUCAUCCCAUCCACUACAUUACAAUUCACAUAAAAAACUUCUAUAAUCAAAAUCUGGAAGCAGCACGACAACUUGGCGUUAAGCCUUUUUGAAACCUUCUCAGUGAUUAACAACAAUCAACUUCUUAACUUCCUCUAACUUAGUAACUAGAUCAGAAUUAACCUUUUCUUUAUUUUGUAACUCGCCAUCCAAAAUUGCAACAACCUUUUUCAAGUUGGCGAGUUCCUCAUCAGUAGAUGUCAAUUUAUCUUCAGCAAUUAUCUUUGCUUCCUUUGUAUUCUUACUCAAGUUUGGCAACAACACCCAUAACUUCUUCCUCUAAUGCGAUAACUCAAGUACUCAAAGACUCAUUUUCCUAAGACUUAGCAGAUAGUGAGAAACAUGUUCAUCUAUAUCUAUUUGUAACAUAGAGGUUAAUUCUCUGCUUUUAGUCAAAGCCACUUUAAGUUGUUCAGUUUUACUAACCUAAACUUUCAUGGUCUUCAACUGGCAAACAUUGCUUUGAUCCUUUCAUCAACACUAGCAACUGUUUCAUUCCAAUGUGCGCCACAACAAGAGAUCAACCAAGGAAAAUCUCAGUUGCAUCCAAACUCUCCACCGGUCCAACAUAAUUCAUCAUAUCCCGGUCAUUUUGACUCAAGAAAACAAAGGAUUGAACGAAUUGUGGACCAGUCAACUCAGCAUUCCAAAGUGAAAUAAUAUUCUGAGCAACCAAGACAUGAUCUAAUCGGUGCAAUUUACCUUGAUGGUAGUGAAGAAUGGCUUUAUUGGUGUGAUCGUUGUGUUGAGUAACCAAAGUAGGACCACUUUGAUUACUUCCUUGAACAACAAAAAUCACCUUCUUUCAGAUCUCUUGCUCUUUUUCUUUCUCUAACUUGAGUCGCUUUUCUUUUUUCUUUUUCCUUGCUCUUCGUCUUUCUCUAACUCGAUCUCUUUUCUUUUCUCCAUCUCAGGCUGCAUAGUUGGAACAACCAAAUCAAUGAUUUAAUCUUGUCAAACAAGUUUACCACCACCACCAACAUCAUAUCCAACAAAAUCACUUCCACCAAGAGGUUUGGAUACUCCUCCCAAUUCAGUUUUUGAGGAAUCCUUAACUCUCUUCCUCUUCUUCUUCUGCUUGCUGAGCUGCAACACAAGGUCUGCUUGGUCAUCAAUAACCAAGUCCCUCAAACUCUUAUAAUCAUAGCCACUUAUGACUUUUGCAUUUACAUAAAGAAAAUGGUUUAGAACUCAUUAAAUGUUUAAAAAAAAAGAAACACCACCAUAGAAAUACAACAAAUACUCACGACUCAAAAUCCGAUGAGGAUGAUUUGAAUUAGGAAUGACCAAAAUAAAUUUACAGGACAUUUCAUAAGGUCAUUCUCCUAUAAUCGUAAUAUCCUUAAUUCCCUGGGGUGAUAAUACUUGACAAGGAUGAG
rnacentral:lncRNA from 1 species